GGUCUGCCGUUGGCCCAGGCAGGGAAGGAAAACUGUUCCUCUCCUCGCCUGCCACCUACUGGCCUCUGCAGGAAGUACCAGAACAACUUUCCUAGGGUGAAAUCCUCUUCAAAGACGAAACGCAGAUAGCCAUAUACUUUCCAAGUUGUCAUAUUCUAAUCACCCAUUUAAAAAUGGAAACUACAUGAAGAACCCUUUCAGUGGCAGUAGACAGAUAUCACCUUUUAAAAAGUGGUUUAGACUGAGACGACCGCGAAGUUGAUUAUGAAGCGCCCUCUGCCACAUUUCUGCCUUGGCGCUGGCUGAGCAUGGAUGGAGUCCCCAGAAACUACAAGCCAAACUAAACUUCUUACUGAAAACUGAGCCCAGGGCAUUUGAACUGAACUUAUAUUCCCACUUCCUUAUGGAGCUGCACCUGCCACUCACAUGGUUACUUCUUUACAGUGACAAAAGAACUACUAUU